UGGCUGUCUUCAGAGCAGAAAGCAAAACACAAUCUACCCUCUAAUUAAUGUAAGAAAGUUGUAAAUCAGGAGCUAAUCCUUUUGACUGCUAUGAUUUCCAUCUGCUUUAACAACAGUGUAGCUCAAAAUCAGCCAUCCUACAAUUAACAUCGAGCAUACAGUCUAUUUGUGAACAGAGAGGACAGAAGUCUUUCAUUGCUCAUUGCAGAGCUUCAAGCACUACAGAACAGCCAGGGCUUUGCCAUUUUACUGUGAACAGCACUACUUGGGAAUGGCAUGCAAACACUUCACUUGGUAACUAAUGUGUUUGUCUUUCUUGAUGUUUUAAAACUGAUAAACCACUGCUGUGAACCCUUUUUUUCCCCACUCAGAUAAAUGCUGCUGAUGGUGAUGCCAGUUUAAUACUCCAGUGAGACUCAGCAGUUCUACAGCAUCUUUCAUCUGAGAGCUCCAAGGUGCUUGCAGAUACUAAUAUUUGCAUCCCUACAAAAAAAUGUUCUCCCCAUUCCUAUUUCACAAAUACACUUCAGAAAUUAAAUGUUCAGCUUUGACUCCAUUGUCUCCUCCCUGCAAGACUUAUCAACCAAAGAAAAGGACUGGAGCAUCUCUCUUACGAGGGAAGGCUGCAAGAGCAGCCUUCCCUGUUUAGCCUGGAGAAGAGAAGAAUUAUAUCAAAAUCUACAGAUAUCUUAAGGGAGGGUGUCAGACUCUGUCAGACUCUUUUCAGUGGUCCCCAGCAACAGGACAAGAGGCAACAGGCACAAACUGAAACACAGGAAGUUCAAUCUGAACAUGAGGAAGAACUUCUUUCCUGUGAGGGUGACAGAGCAGUGGAGCAGGUUGCCAAGAGAGGUUGUGGAGUCUCCUUCUCUGCAGAUAUUCAAAUCCUACCUGGACAUGAUCCUGUGCAAUGUGCUCUAGGUGACCCUGCUUGAGCAGGGGUGGGGUUUGUCUAGAUGAUCUCCAGAGGUCCCUUCCAACCUUAACCGUUCUGUGAUCCUCUGAUUCUGUGAAAAGGGAAAUCCACAAGACAGCCCACUCUCAACACUAACAUAAGGUGUCUAUUCACACUUCUAAUGCAUGUGUUAUAUACAGAUGUCCAUGAUAUAUACCAGCUUAUACCUCUGUCUUAAUUUUCUACCAUUUCAAUGAAACAAUCCUAUAUUGUGUCUGUUAGUGUUCCACAAUAAUUCUUUUCACCUAGUUCACAUAAAGUUCUCUGUAUUAAAUGAGAAGCACCUUGUAAAUUUUUUUCCUAUUCAGAAGUAACAAUGAAAUUCCAGUAAAAAAAAGAUUAUGUGCUCCCAAUUUCAGAUGGGCCAACAGGUUAUUACAGCAGCAGGUUAGAAAUGUAAUGUGCUCAGAAUCUGAAUUCUUCCUUCAGUUUUGCCAGAGGUUUCUUUGCUUAACUCCCAGUAGACUCAAUGAGAAUUAACCAUGAAAAUCCCUUUUGCUUCCAAAGCAAUACUGACCUUGCAAUACUGAGGGAAUGGAAUGCAGAAUGUGUGAACACUUGAUGUACACUAUCUAAAUAAACUAACAAUGUCUUAACAAUGAAGUCUUAAUAAUUUGAAAUAGGCUGUACAUCAUAGUGUUGUCAGGUUGUUGCUUUAAUAUAUCAUACUGCCAACUGUCUUGACUCAGGACUAAGAAAAUUGCCUGAAGAUGUAUAUGAUACAAGAAAAUAGAGGUUUUUAGGAAGCAAAUGUCAUAGAAACAGGGCAAAGAGGCACCCACAUACACACUUUAAAUACACUCUAUUUCAUGUAGUAGUAGUAGCUGAGCCGUUUGUUCAGUAAGAAUUGCAUGUUCAGCUCUUAAAGGGCUGGGCUUUGGGGUUUUUUGUUAUCUCGUGUUGAAAAAACAUUUUCUGUUCCUCCUCACUUUGUAACAGCUGCACUCUGAUUUCUCAAGAAAUAAAUGCUAAGGAACUUGA